GACGAACGCUGGCGGCGUGCUUAACACAUGCAAGUCGAGCGGAAAGGCCAUUUCGGUGGUACUCGAGCGGCGAACGGGUGAGUAACACGUGAGUAAUCUGCCCUUCACUCUGGGAUAGCCCUCCGAAAGGGGGAUUAAUACCGGAUAUGACAUGUCCCUGCAUGGGGGUGUGUGGAAACUUUUGUUGGGUGGGGGAUGUGCUCGCGGCCUAUCAGCUUGUUGGUGGGGUAAUGGCCUACCAAGGCUUUGACGGGUAGCCGGCCUGAGAGGGUGACCGGCCACACUGGGACUGAGACACGGCCCAGACUCCUACGGGAGGCAGCAGUGGGGAAUAUUGGACAAUGGGCGGAAGCCUGAUCCAGCAACGCCGCGUGAGGGAUGACGGCCUUCGGGUUGUAAACCUCUUUCAGCACCGACGAAGCGCAAGUGACGGUAGGUGCAGAAGAAGGACCGGCCAACUACGUGCCAGCCGCCGCCGUAAGAC
rnacentral:rRNA from 1 species